CACUUGGCAGAGGCUUGUACUGGCAUCUAAAGAGUAGAGGCCAGGGAUGCUGCUAACAUGUACAGGGCACAGGGCAGCCCUCCCCUACCACGAGGGGGCGGCCCCAGAUGUUAAUAAUGCCGAGGUGGGGAAACCCUAACAUAACUGAAACCUGUUUGGCAAGCCUGCCCACAUGUGCUGGGAUUCUGCGCAGGCUGAGACCCUUGCUAUGUACCUUCCUAUGAACUCCUGAUAUGUUUAUGUCAACAUUUUAAUGCUUUCAACAGUAUUUAUUGAAUGCCCACCAUGUACUGGGCGUUAUGUUUUGUUUAGCUCUGGAGACGCAGCAGGGAACCAGAUCAGGCCUGUCUGCGUGGAGCCCACAGUCUGCAGGGAGCACUUUUCUCAGUGGUUGUCUCUACCAGAAAUUUCAAGGAGUAUGAAAAAGUUUGACUCCUGACUGAAGGCUUCCCACAGGGACAACACUCACAGGGUUUGCUCCAGCAUCUCUGACCCACGGCAGAACCAUUUCCUCUGCAUUACGGCUGGACGACAUUUUCACUCAUGAACAACCAAGUCUGGAUCAAUCCGUUCCAAGUGCGCCACACUGACGGCUGUUUUCUUUCUUGGAGAACAGGGUGGCAUCUGGGUUCCAGAGAGCACAAAGCAGGCACCUUCUAAAGUCUUCGAGCUACACUUGGCAGAACAUCGCUCCCUCGCAUUCCGCUGGCUGAGCUGAGUGCCAGGAGCAGCCGAUUCAAGGGGCUGGCAGUACACGGGCGUGAGCACCAGCAGCCGCAGCUCAGCCGGGGCUCCUGCUGAGGACCAGCUCUCAGUACGAAGCUGCAACAAAGCGCGGCAGUCCUGCACCCCUUCUCACCUCCAAGCUCCCCAGAAACAACGGCUCCCGACUCUGCCUAGCGUUCCCCCUGACAGGAAAACUGAGACCACGUGGAGGUCAUCCAGCUGCCCUGGGUCACAGAACCUGCUGUGUGACCCUGGAUGAGAACCCAGCCUCCUGUCCCUGUACCCCUCAACUCAGCCAAGUAUUAUUUGUGGAUAAAUCCCAGGAGGGGACCCCUCGCCUUGCCUCUAAGACAUGAGGAAUUUCAGCCAGGGCUUUCAGAUAAAAACACAAAAAUGAGGAUUUGGUACACAAAAGCCCAGGGAUCCCCGAGUGUCCCACACAUGACUACAAGUGGAUCCUAAGGGUGGCGUUAACUCUUUCAGAUGUUCCUCUUGGUUACACCAACGUGAUGUGAGGAAGUGCCCUGUGCAUGGAGGAAAACAGGUAGCGGAGUUUUGUUGGACUCAGCAAAGCUGCCCGGACCUUUGCAAUGUGAAGUUCAAAGGCAGGAGGGCCAACUGGCAUAAGAAGCCCUGGAGCCUUCUGGAAGGAAAAGGUU